rnacentral:rRNA from 1 species
AAAGGUUAAGUAACUAAGGGCAUGCGGUGAAUGCCUAGGCGCCGGGAGCCGAAGAAGGACGCGGUAAGCUGCGAAAAGCUACGUUGAGUCGCAAGCAGACCUUGACACGUAGAUAUCCGAAUAGGACAACCCUGCCGGAGU